UAGCGAUGUGUGGUUAUUUAUCUCUAUAUUAUUUAUCUACCCAAGCUGUAGGUAAUUCUUCUAGAAUAACUCCAUCAUUCCUCAAUGCUGUUUCAGAAUAGGUUCAACAUAUACCUAGAAGCUAAUGGCUAUUUAAGAUAAUGAAUGAAAGAUACACAAGCAUAUUUAUCCUCAAGCCUUAUCAGUAACAAUCAAUAAUUGAUCAAUCAUGAAGCUAAUUAAUAAUUUACUAAAAAAACAUUUGGUAAUAAUCUUCUAUAAAUAAGCAUUCUCAAUGUUAGAACUGGUUAUUAUUGAAUGCUCUUGAUUACAAGCUUGGUCUUAGUAUUGCUUUGAGGUUUGCAGCUAUUUAUUAUUGGCCUUUAGCUUUAAUUGUUUGAUAUCUGCUGAUGUUUCAUAAAGUUGCAAUUGUUCUAUGUAUACACAAAUAUGAAUUGAAAUCAUCUAUCUGGCUAUAACCUACAUGAUGAUGUUCAUGAGUUGUGUUUAUCUACCUAAUGUUUUUUGUUAUAUAGCUUAAAUUCCAUGAGAAUGUCAAAUACAAAAGUGCUUACCUUUGUUGGAUUUCAUGCAUUUGAAACAAAUUAUAAUCGAUGGACUUAUUCAUAUCAUGAUUAUUCCCAGCUGCCGUCCUUUUCAUCAUCACUUCUUUGUUUUUGCAUUCCAAGGUCUUUGCAUGUUUUACAUUUAUUUAUGUUAUUUGUUAUAUACAUAAUAUUAUUAUUAUGUAAUAUAUAAUAUGAUGAUUUCAUGAUUUACAUUUAGAUUUGUUCUUUUAUGUUUGGUAAAGUUACUUUUCUGGUUAUUAGCUGUUAUUUUCUCAGUUUUUACAUUGCACUUAAAUUAUCUUCCACAAGAAUUAUUAAAAAUAUCCUUGUGUAGCUUUCUUUCUUUUGAGGAAAUGUCAUAGGGAAAAAUAUCAAAUGGUCCAUAGUUUUUAUUAAUUAAGAGGCAAUUAUGGGAAUCAUUUGACGUGGAUAGAUAUUAUAUUAACAGUUGGUGUUUGACGUGUACAUAUAUGUUGGUAUUCAUUUGAUGUGUAUUUGCGAGUUCGUGGUUAGGUUGUUUUUUUGUUUGUUUUUUGUUUUUAACAUAGCUUAAUUAUAUUAGUAAACCAUGUCAUGCACAUAUAUGGACAAAUUAAUGAAUAAUUGAAGUGGACACUGCAAAGUCCAAUAGGAGAAAGUUAAGAAUAAUUUUUCUUAUAAUCACAAAUUAAUUUAUGUACAAAGACAUGGUAUAUUUUUAUGUCAUUAGAAAAACAAAUCUUUCUUGCAAUAAGGAAACUUUUAGACAUGUUAUCCCAAAAUUUAUUCUUUGUCUACUAAUUCAUACAAUGAGAUUUUGCAUAUAUAAUAUAUCAGUUAAUCAUGUUUGUUUUUUCCCCUUUACACAAGUUCUGCAAUGAGCUUCAAGUAUAUUUCCCAACUUAAACCCCCCGGCCAAAAUCAGAUAGUCAAGAUCAGAGUAACAAGGAUAUGGGAUUGUUAUGUCCCAACUUCAAACAAGUUUCUUGGUAUUGCAUUCUUGGCAACUGAUAGCCAGGUACUUAGAGAUAGUUUUAUAGAUAUAUAUACUUAUUUAGAAGCUUUAAUUGGUCUAACACAAAUCAUUAUGCAUAUACACUGUAAUUUACAAUGGACACAUAAUUACUAGGGAGAUACGAUACAUGUUCAAAUUAGGGAUUUUGAUUGCCCAAAGUUUCAACAAAAACUUAUUGAAGGUUCAGUCUACAAGAUUGCUAAAUUCCAAGUAGUUCGACCAAAUAUCUGAUAUUUAUCAACCACAAGAGAAUUUGCUAUCCUUUUUAGCUCCAUUACCCAGCUGGCAUUAAUACCUGAUGAUCUUACUCCCUAUCCUCGAUAUCACUUUGAAUUUCUUGAUCGGGAAAAAAUGGCACCGCAAGCAAAUUCUGACAAAUAUUUGAUAGAUGCAAUUGGAACUCUAAUGUCCAUUGGCCCAAUUCAGAAUGUUCAAUUGACCAAAUAUGAAAAAAUUGUGGAAAAAAGAGAUGUUAUACUAAAAGAAGCAAGUGGUGAUGAGUUGAAGAUAACAGUAUAGGAAUCAACUUUUCCUCAAUUAAAUGCCAACAAACUCCUUCAGAUCCGACCAAAUCCUGUGCUUUUAUUUGUUGGAACAAUUAUAAAGACAUUCCAAGGAAUAAUCUAUCUAGCUUCAACUUCAGCUACAAAGAUCUAUAUCAAUUUGGAUAUUCCUGAGACGAAAGCAAUACAACAACAACAAAAGCUUGGAGAACAACCAGUGCAAUUACUAGCUUUUUCAAGUGAAAUUCCAAAUAUGCAACAACGAAUUCAACAAGCAAAAUAUGCUACAAUUGCUCAGCUAUUGCAAUUUUCACCAGCUACAAUUGGUAACACACUAUUUACAUGUGAUGCAUGGGUAGAGCAAAUCGAUACUUCAAAUGGUUGGUUCUUUUAUUCUUGCAAUAUGCAAAAAAACCAUGAUUGAAACAGAAAAUGGUGAGCUUGCUUGCUAUGACCAUGGCCAAGGAAUUCCAAAGUUGACGUUAAGACUGCGGAUGAUAAUGAAAGAUGAAACUGCUGAUAUGGAAAUUACAGCGUUCGACAAACAAGCUGAAUUAAUGACAAAUCUUAAUGUGGAUUUUUUGCAAGCUAUUGAAGAAAUAUCACAGACAAUAGUUCCAGAGAAAAUACUUGCUGUAGUGAAGAAAAAAUUUACCUUUACUAUUGGCCUGCCUCCAAAAGCGAUUAAAGAUGAUGUCUUGACUUAUAGAAUUUACAGAAUAAAGCCAAUUCAACUAGAAGGCCAAAGUUCUACCCAAACACAAAAAGUACAACUAGCAUUUACCCAAUCCUCUAUGGAUAAUAAAUCGGAGAUUACAGAAACAAAACCCCAAAAUGACACAGAUGACACACUUGAAUCCUUUUUACAAGUUGGCCUUCCACAAGGUUUAGCUUUAGUAGAAUCUCCAGCUAAGAAACAGAGAAGGUAAGAGUCUGAGAACACAAAAUGAAAGACAAUAACUAAACUUUGUUAUAAAUAAUUCCAAAACUAAUGCAUAUUAUGAAACAAGGGAAAGGAGAAGAUUGAAUGAAAAACCUUUGAAGACAUGAACAACAAGAAACUCCGCAUGAAAAUUGGCAAAGCACAAGAAGCACAUACAUCUGUGAAAAAAUGUUAAUUACUUCCACUACUUUGAAGUUUGCAAAUUAUAUGAGUGUUUAAAUAAUGUGUAUGUUGGUGUAGCCUGUAAUGUUUAAUUGUUCUUAAAAUGUUCAUUUUGUUGUAAAUCUUUACAGUGUGGGUAUAAUUACAAAGAUUGUAUUAAUGGUGAAAUAAUGUAUUCUAUUGACCAUGUUGGUAUGUUAUAGUCUGUAAUUUUAGUAAAUUAGAUUUAAAUAUUAAAUUAGUGAUAAGCCUUUUGUACCUUAAAUCUAUGAAGUCAGGCUUCGAUGAUAUCUUCAUGAAAUUGAGGUAAAUAACGCAACUUUUUUGCAGCUUUUUCUCUAUAUCUCUAUAUCAGCUCACCACCAUGAUCCUGCUGGAUUCUCUUUUCUCCGUCCACUCAAUCACAUUCUCGAUGAAAAUAGGUAUCUAGUGUUCUCCAUUUUUCUUUCCUUUCUUGGUUUUUUCUUGUGUGGACACACAGGGCUGAUGGCAUUGCCAUGGAAGAUCUCAAUAUCGUGUUGGCUGCUGUUAUUGCUCUUGUUGCUGAUCCAAUUGCUUCUCUGGUUGAUACUGCAUUUGUAGGCCAUUUGGGUAUGCAUAAUUAUUGUACUGAUCCAUGACUGAUAUUUCCCCUCUUAUUCAAGAAUCAACGAUAAUAUUGAGCAAAUUCUUCAAAAAUGGAUGAAUGUUUAAUUUGUGAAGGUAAAGAGCGAGUAGAGAUGAGUUGGUUGUGAUUCUUGUGAAAGGUAGUAAAUUUAGAGAACCAAAAUUUGAGUUGGAUAUUGGUACUGUUGCAUUUGGCAGGGUCUGUUGAACUGGCAGGUGUUGGUGUUUCAGUUUUGAUUUUCAACUUGGUUUCUAAAUUGUUUAACAUCCCUUUGCUUAACAUCACAGCUUCAUUUGUUGCGGAGGAGCAGGCUUUGGAUGUUGGCAUGAAAAACUAUUCCUCGAGAGUAGCUACAAGAGGAGCGUAUCUAUGCAUGGUAACUCGUAUGCAUCCCAAAAAACCUGCAUCAGUGUUUAACACUGAAAUAUUAAAGGACAUACAAGAUGACAAUGAUAAGUGAGUGCUUCAUUCCUCUGUUGAUAAUAAAGGAAAUGUUCCUCUAAGGGCAUCUAUUGGACUUUGGAGAGCAUCUCUCUUCAUAAUAGCUUAAGACUGCUGCUUAAACUGUGAACUACUGGUUCGGAGUAACAACCAUAUUGCCCCUUCUUGGCGGAUUCAUUGCUGAUGCCUACCUGGGAAUGUUUUCCACUAUUCCCUUCUCAGUUUUCAUCUAUAUUGUGCGGGUUAUAUAGAGCUUCGUGAUGUAUUUAAAUAUAGCUUUGUUAUUGCCUUGAUUGAUGCUUAGAUAUGGGGAGUAGUUGGAACCUUCUGGUGGAAAUUUUUGGGUCUUUAUUGAGCCAGUAAUCCCAUAAAGUUCAUUCUAAUUGUUUCUUCAAAGGAUAUGCUAUUCGUCAAUCAUUAGCAAUUUUAGCUGUUGAUGUUCCCUGUAAUUUUGACUGCGAAAUGGGACUUGAGCUUAUGCCAUUGUCAGGCUAUGUGCUACUGCACAUCGGAGUUGAGUUUUAUGU